rnacentral:lncRNA from 1 species
UGCGGAGAAUCGUCGGUUGUAUCUGGCAACCAGCUAGAGUCAGGAACAAAGCAGUGAAAUGGAGGACGGACAGAGCUGGAUGAUGACUACCGUUAAACUAGAAGAAGAAGAGAAAGAAGAAAUAUUGUGGAGGGAAGUGAAGCUGAGUGAGACGGACAGUGAUGAUGAUGAUGAUGAUGAUGAUGAUGAUGAUGAUGAUGAUGAAGGCUGCAGGAGGAAAGCUGUGCUGGAGGAGCUUCGUCAUCCCGACCAUGUGUGGGACGGAAUGUUUGCUCCAAAGAUGGAGAAAAGCGGAGAAGAAGAAACGGAGGAGUUUUCAGAUGUGUGCUCUGUGAAGGAAGAGUGUGUAAGUUCUUGACGGUGGAGCUGCAGGAGGCGCUGGAGAGGACAGGUCGGUCCAAGGAGGUGCUGGAGUUGGGGGAGGUGCUGGACACGGGCAAGAGUAGACGCAAUAUUAAAUAGUACACGUUGUAAGAACAACACACUCAUCAACCAUAAUUAUCCUUAAAUAGCUUUAGAAUGCUUAGGAUUUUAAAGCAUUGCAUCGUGGGUAGUUGAUGAUCUGUGUGUUGAUGUUUAGGGAGACCCGUUUGACUGAGGCCGUGGACAACAUCUGUGAACGCAUCCUGCAGUACAGCGUUCACGCAUAGAGGCCUGGAAGUCUACGCUACGCCAAGGUCAGUCCACCGCCUCAUUGUUACCUUUAAACAAUCCUCCACUGGUUUUACAAGUUUGGCCUAAAACCUUUGAAAUGUAAUUAUUAGAAGAUCUAUGCCUAACCAAACCAUAUUUGUUUAAUUAUUGUUUUUUUUAUUUGGCUUUCAUAAAUAAUGAUGCAUAUUUACAGAUAUUGUACAUGAUAUGAGUGAUAACACGUGUUAUAAAGGCUAUUUUACACAAUAGGUGUGGCUACAGAUUUAUACUUGUUCGUUGGUGUACCAUGGGCACUAAAAGUCUGGGAACCACUGAUCUACACAACUAAAAAAUACAAACAUGUAGAGGCAGCUCAGUGGGAGCACUAAACAGAAACUAAAACAGAAACAUAUAAAGAAGCAUAAACUGAAUAUAGGUCAUUUUUUCACUCCAGUGUAUUUUGCCAGAUCAGCAUUUCUUUGAGAGAAAUUGUCAGGUUUCCAGAUGUUUAUGUUUUGCCAGAUUAAACUGAUGCUGAUGUGUUUUAUUUUCAUAGCAUCAUAUGUGAGUGAGGGGCUUUGAUAAGAUGACAUAGUGGUACAUUUGUAUUUCUAUGAGCAUUUGCACAUCUGUACGUCAUAAUGCACAUGAUGACAGUUAGACAUUGGUGCAGUGAGUAAAUGUAUGUAUAUUACUGGAAUUUAUUUAUUCUUUGCCAUAUUAUAGUAAUCCUGGGGUCGUGAUGAUGGGGCCCUUGAAUAUUGUUGCCCAGGGUACAGCGGUGUUAAUCUGGCCCUGCCGUGAGGGAAAGGAUGUUUAUUUAUGUGGAAAUGUUCUUCUCACUCUCAUCCUUGUCUGUUUCAAACACCGUCUAACCUGGUAAAAAACUACACAAAUCAUCACUGACUCCUAAAUCAGAGACACCAGUGCCUGUUUAACUUUAAUGUGUCUAUAAAGCUCCGUUUGUUUGUAGCGCUGCUGUGCUCUGUGAAAACAUGACUCAGCUUUAAUCAGCUUCACCUGCUCAGUGUUUAAACAUCUCAUCAGAGCUACAGAACAUCUGGAUAAAGUUGUUCUGUUGUUGUGGACGAGAUCAUCAAUACCAGUGAUUGUAGAGUCUGAAACAUCACAGAUUAUUGAUAACUUCUGAUACUGUAAAAUAUUCUGACCUCUAGUGGUGAAAAAACACUUCUUACACGUGAUGUGUUGCACAUUUAUUUUUGUUUAAUCAUUACGUUCUGGAAUGAUGUCAUCAGGAUCAUUUAAAUUAGGUUAAUUUAAAUUAAUUUGAUCAAAAUUUAAUCAAUAAACCUGAUCAGAUUCAGUAAAUCA